rnacentral:lncRNA from 10 species
GUUUGCUUUAUGUAGGUGUGAUAGUUCUGAAACUUCAGAAAUUUCCUCUGUAUUUCAUUUUUAAUGCCCCUAGCACCACUCUUUUAACAGCAGUUUUUUCUCUGAUGUAUUCAAGAGUUAAUUGACUUUGGCGGGGCAGGGAGACUCUGACCUACAGAUGACAAUCCUUAAAACUUUUAGCCUUGGUCUCAUCCUAGAUUCCACUCACCUGCUCAUUUAUGUCUCUUCAGGGAAGCAGUGGCCCUGUCUAUUAGAGAGAAAGGAACUCUAGAGGGUGGAAAAGAAUAGGAAACACCUGAAUGUCAUAAAAGAUAAAAGAUUAUUGGAGGGCAUAUCCUUUCUUGGGAAGAUGCCUCGAUAUAAAAAGGACUCCACAAAAUAGAAUGACGUCAGGACCCAGUGCAGUGCUGUCGAGUUGAACCCUGAGGGUGAAUGUAAGCAGAGCCUUGGAGUUAAGUAGCUCAGGCCUGCAACCUCCUUCUGCAGGCCACUUGGAAACUGGCAGCUACGAGAUGCAGAGCUCCGGAAUGGUCUUUGGAGUCAGCAGAACUGCGUUCCCAUCCUGGCAAUGCCACUUACACCCAGGGUAACCAUAGGCUUUUAUUUAUUAUAAAUGUAUUUUGUUAGCUAAUUAAACUUAUUUAUUAAUUUUCCUAAAAGAAUUAUCUUUAACAUUUUUCCAGUAGUAACAAUUGUGCAUGUUGGAUCUACAUAAAUCUAAAUAAAACAGAAAUGUAUAAAGUGAAAAGCAAAACUCCUUUCUGUCUCUUAAUAUUUCCCCUUUGCUUCCUACUACUCUGAUAAUUGCUGCUUAUGACUUGACCUUAUUUCCUUCCCAAUUUUAAUGAAUGAAUAAAUAAACCUAAUUGUUUAACAUGAAUGGGAUUCUACUAUACAUUUUAUUUUCUCCCUAUAUGCAAUAUAGACCAAGAGUCAGCACAAUUUUUUUGUGAAAAGUAAGAUGGUAAAUAUUUAGGCUUUAUGAACCUUAUCCUUUGUCUCAGAUACUGAACUCUGCUGUUGUAUCAGAAACUCAGCUAUAGAUGAUAUGUAAAUGAAUGGGCAUAGCUGUGUUUCAAUAAAACUUUAUUUAGAAAACAAGCAAGUGGCAGGCUGCAUUUUCCUUCAAGACGUAGUUCACCAACCCCUAAUAUAUAACAAUUAAGUCUACCUCAUCUUUUUUACUGGCACUCCAUGGAAUGGGUGAAGAAAUUCACUUUCAUAGUCACCCAUAUAUAGAUAUUAAAAGUCAUUUCCCUUAGAAGCUCUCUUAAAUAAGCACCAGUUAUCCACUAGCUGGAUUAGCUGAUGUCUGUCUCCUUUCUCCUGUGAACAAGUUAACGGCUUUCCGUGGUAUACUGAAAUUGUGUGUCUUGCACAGAACUCCUUACUUCACCUGUGUCCUUGGGAGUUCACCAGCUGAGCUGACCAGCAGUCUGAGCUUGUUUAAACACCUGUACUUGUUAUCGUAGUAUGCAAUUGAAUUAAACAGUAUGUUAACCAGAGAAAUAGAAGUGAAGGAAAGAGAUUGUUGACUCCAGAAAAAUGAAGUUGAUUAUUUUUGGAAACACCUAAUUUAAAUGCUUUUUCAAAAAAAAAAACUGUUGAAUUAGGUAUAGGUUGAGUUAAUUACAAUAGACUAAAAACCAGCGAGCAUGUGGUAGACUUUGGGGUGAAGGACCCAUAGCAUCAGCUCCUUGGGAGAGGAGGCCAAGCGGCCAGGCUGAGUAUGGGUUCAGGUUCAGCCCAGGUCCCUCUUUGAUUUUCAGAAGGUUGACUGGUCUGGGGAAUCUGCCUUCUGCCCGAUGAAGCCCAGGCUCUCACCUUGUCUGAUCAUCUUUCCUGGGUCUUGGGGGACCUCAUGUCUCUGACUACAUUUAGCCUACGUUUUUAUACUCUCUGAAUGUGAGAGGUUAUUAAGCAUGAGAUUCUGUUUCUCCUCUCAAAGGCUGGUCCAGUAACAUUUAAAAUAGCGUUAAGUCUGUAUUUACAUUUUGAUGUCACUCUUGCUUUAUUUCCUUAGCAGACUCUCUAUUCUGUUCCACCCAUGUUUUUCUCCCAAGCAGAAUCUAUCUUAUCUGACAUUGCAAAGCAGUUAACAUUGAUUCUGGUGAAUGGUCUACUUUGAUUUUUGCUACAGGGAGAUUUUAGUACAAAUUCACAUAUAUUGUUUUCUCAACAAAUGGAAAAUUAUGUUCCACAUUCAUUGUGCUGGGUUUGCCGAGCCUGCUCUUUUGAAACUCACUGUCUCAUCUCUUAUAUUUGCCUUCUCUGUCACUGUCGAUGUUUUCCUAAUACUUCAUCCUUUACGCAGACUCCUUCCUUGGAGCUGAAUUUGGCAGUGGAGUUUGCCUAACUAAUGGGGACCAUAUGCUCUGCAAUUACAUUCCCCAACAACAUUCAGAUUUGUUAGCAAAUAUUGGAGAAGGCAAGUUGAGAAACUGGAGUGCAAAGGACAGUCAGGAACUGGCACAUUCUGACAG